AUCCCAUGGUGAGGGCAUUUACGAAGUAAAUCCUUGAAUCUUUACCACACCUUGUAUAGGGACUCGUCAUCCAAUUAUUGAAAAGUACUGAUCUUAUUUCGCAACUU